ACGUGCCUAUAAUUUUUUUGCAAAUGACUCAACAUCAUGUAAUGAAUACGCGCUGAACUUAAGCAUAUCAAUUAGGCGGACGAAAAAGAAAAUAACAAUGAUUCCUUUAGUAAGUGCGAGUGAAGAGGGAAAAGCUCAAAGUUUAAAAUAUGUUAGGUUUACCUAACCGAAGUUGUAAUUUGAAGAAGCGUUUUCGGCGUUUCUUGGUUGGCCCCCAAUCCCUUGGAAUGGUGUAUCAUGGACGGGUGAGAAUCCCGUACGGCUAAUCAUUACGCUUUACGAUACGCUUUCUAUAGAGUCAAGCCUUUUGGGAUUGCAGCUUAAAAUGGGAGGUAAAUUUCUCCUAAGGGUAAAUAUUGGCGAGAGACCCAUAGUGAUCAAGUUCCGUGAGGGAAAGAUGAAAAGCCUUUGAAAAGAGAGUCAAACAGCGCGUGAAAUUGUUGAAAGGGAAACGAUUGAAGUCUGUCGGCCCGCCGAGAAAUCAGCUAUCUUGGGUGCGAUCUUGUGCGUUGGGAAGAGUUUUAGGGCCUUCGGUUUUACAAACAAGUAUUGUUAUGGAAAAUUUUUUCGUCAGCAGGUCAACGUCAAUAAGAUCAGUUAUAACACGUAGGGCGGAAAGUCCCUUCAUUGUCAUCAAGAAGUGGAAAGCGAGGUGACAGACAGGAAUCGGAUGACUAGCCGAGAGGCAUCCGCCGCAAUCCUCAAUCCCCAUCGCCUCAUCCAGCAGGGUCUAUAACACUCCCGCGAAGCGAAGCCACAUUACCCCAACUAUUUGAUGACAAUCAAAAUUGAUGCUUCCUGCCAGACGAGGAAGUGCACACGGAGGAGAUGAGAGACUCACACCCCCAAGGUGAUUCCUCGGUGAAGAGCGA
rnacentral:rRNA from 1 species